rnacentral:RNase_P_RNA from 1 species
AAGGUAGUCAAGGUAAUCGCUUGGGGUGCAAUUCAUUGUAUCAUGAGAGGAAAGUCCGGACUCCAAACGAAAGAGGUACCUUAGAAAUUAAGGGAGGUGAAAGCCUACGGAAAGUGCCACAGAAAAUAACCGCUUUCUACGUAAGUAGAAAGUAAGGGUGAAAACGGGUGGUAAGAGCACCCGAUGUAUGUUAGUAAUAGCAUGCAGGGGAAAACCCUACCUGGAGCAAGACAAAAUAGGCAUGUACGGUUUUUCGUUCCGGUUUAAACAUGCGGGUAUGUCGCAUAGAUAGAUGGUUACCAACCGUGUAAACGGUACAGAAUCCGGCUUAUUGACUACCUUUUAU